UGCCUCGUGUUUGUUUCGUGCGUUCUAGAUUAGUUGUUGAUUGUUGUCGUUGAUGUUUGGUUUGAAUGUUUCACUGUUUCGGCGUUCCGUCAUUGUGUCUUGCAUUUGCGUAUAUACCUAGUGUUGUUUUUUGUAUCUACGUAUAACGUUUUCCGUUUAGUUUACGGAUUUAUUGUACUUCGCUAAACUACUGAACGUGUGUCAAUUUUCGUUGAUCGUACUUUCCGUUGAGGUUUCCACGUUCCGCCAUUGCGUCUUGCGUGAUAUAAGUAUAUAGUUAAGAUAAAAACCAUGUCAGAAUACUAGUGAAGAAGAUGUUAGAAUCAUGGAAUUAAGGUAAAACGAUUGAAAGAAUUUGGUGGUAUUAAUGUGUAUAUGGUGACCAAAUGCAUCAUGGACUUCUUGAUGACUGAUAAUUUAGGGAUGCAAAUAUCUAUGACAGGACGUGGAACGAAUAAUAGGAAAAAUGAAAAAAUGUCACUCAUUUCAUUAACAAUAUUUAA